CCCCCAAGCUUGGCAGUUGCCAAGGGGAGUGCCCAUACCCAUGUGAUUAUGUCCUCGAAGGUGAUGAAGGUGGAGUUGUUGAUGAUGUAGGCUUGUCGUCCGUCUUCCAAGGCAUAGGCUCACCAUCAUAGAACGAGUCUCCGAGAUCCUCAAAUCUGCAGCCAAACUCAUCCUCUUGAAUCUAUAUUCAUACUCACAGUUUUGGUUUUGCGGGUCAUGGAUCUGGGCUUGGAGAUGCUCGAUUUUUUCAUGAAGCUUGAAGAUGGUCUCCCCAAUGUUCUUGGCGUCCAGCUUGUGGUUGUUGGUGAAUUCCACGAUCAUCAUCUAGUUGGUGUUAGGUCCACGCUCCACCAUCCCUUGGCACUUGAAAACUUGUUGUUCCAUAGCUUCCAGCUUUGUCUCCACGCUUCCGGUACGCCUUGGUCCCUCCACUUCGCGGAUGUGCAGCACCCCCUCAAGAUAGGGGUUGAUAACUGUCGGUGUCCAAACCGGCGGAUCUCGGGUAGGGGGGUCCCGAACUGUGCGUCUAGGCGGAUGGUAACAGGAGACAAGGGACACGAUGUUUUACCCAGGUUCGGGCCCUCUCGAUGGAGGUAAAACCCUACGUCCUGCUUGAUUGAUAUUGAUAUUGUGGAUGUUUACAAGAGUGGAUCUACCACGAGAUCAAGGAGGCUAAACCCUAGAAGCUAGCCUAUGGUAUGAUUGUAAGGGUUGUUGUUGUUGUUGUUGUUGUUGUUGUUGUUGUUGUCCUAUGGACUAGAGCCAUCCGUUUUAUAUAGACACCGGAGAGGGCUAGGGUUACAUAGAGUCGGUUACAAUGGUAGGAGAUCUAUGUAUCCGUAUCGCCAAGCUUGCCUUCCACGCCAAGGAAAGUCCCAUCCGGACACGGGACGAAGUCUUCAAUCUUGUAUCUUCAUAGUCUUGGAGUCCGGUAGAUGAUGAUAGUCCGGUCGAUGAUAGUUCGGCUGAUGAUGGUAGUCCGGCUAUCCGGACACCCCCUAAUCUAGGACUCCCUUAGUAGCCCCUGAACCAGGCUUCAAUGACGAUAAGUCCGGCACGUAUAUUGCUUGGCAUUGCAAGGCGGGUUCCUCCUCCGAAUGAUAGAAGAUUGUGAACACCAGGAUAGUGUCCGGCUCUGCAAAAUAAAUUCCACAUUCCACCAUAGAGAGAAUAAUAUAUACACAAGUUCAAUCUGCUGACGUUUUUUGUGGCAUGACGUCACGCCACUACCAAGCCAUUACUUGAAUCGUUUUUUACUCUACCACCUCAGCGCAUUUAGCGAAGUGGUUUCCUUGGCACGUCUUGUCGAAGCAGAGAUCGUGUUCCCCCUUAAUCCGGGAUUCUCAUCAAUACGGACGUGGGUAACCCAACCGCGCCAUUGAUGGUGACGCUUGGGGGAUAAGCGAGUUUUACCAAGCUAGUGGGGGACGCGUAGACUUCGCCCGCCCAUAUAAGGGAUAAGGAUUCACCUUUUCACCUACGCCUUCUUCCUCCUUUGCUUAUCCAUCUCCGCGCACUCGAGCUCCAGCGCCCAAGGCCGCACAUCUCGUCUCAACCUUCCCCACUUAUAUCCGGAGUGGGAGGCAAGUGGAUGACCUCCUCCGUCACGGAGGAGCACAUCGAAAGACUGCGCAGCGCCGGCCACCUGUCCGGCGACAUCGCGCACCGGCUGCCCGACGAGGGGCAGCUCAUCCCCACCCCCAGGCCGCAUGAGAGGGUCAUUUUUCUUCCCCACUUCCUCCGCGGAAUGGGGUUUUCCACUUCAACCCUUUGUCCGGGGGCUCAUGUUCUACUACGGCCUGGAUUUCCAUGAUCUGGCACCGAACUUCAUCCUCAACAUCUCGGCGUUUAUCGUCAUGUGCGAGUCCUUCCUCUGCAUCCAGCCCCACUUCGGCUUGUGGCUCAAGACCUUCAAUGUCAAGCCGAAGGUAGUGAAGGGCACUCAUCCGGAGUGCGGAGGCGCCAUGUUGGGCAAGAUGCCCAAUUUCCUUUGGUUCGAAGGGGCCUUCGUGGAAUCCGUCAAGGGGUGGCAAUCGGGGUGGUUCUAUAUCACCGAGCCGCGCGACCCUAAGUGGGCGGAGGCCCCCGAGUUCAGAUCUGGUAUCCCCAUGCAGCUCACCUCCUGGAAAGAGAAGGGCUUGCUGUGGGGUAGCUCGGAGGAGCUGACGGGACUCCAAGCCUGUAUCCAGAAGCUGGUGAAGAAGCUUAGGCUGGUUAACAUGGUCCAAGUCAUGCUCGUCCGCCGGAUUCUCCCAUGCCAAGAGCGGGCAUUCAAUCUGUGGGAGUUCAAUCCGGAACAGCACCAGGCGCUGAGCAGGCUCUUUGACACGACGUACGAAGGCGCCUGGAGGGUGCUUUUUAAGGGCGCCGAAGCCCCCGCAUCCGCGACUGAAGAUCGCGGAUUUCGCUCGCAACGCCAAGCCGACGAGGUAAGUGAUUCUACCCCUUUACGGGACACUUGCUUUUCAUAGUUUGACUCUAUGCGGGUUUUAAUUUCCCCUUUUCCUUUGACAGGACUGGAUGUGGAAGGCGGAGCAGAUUAUCUGCCUGGCUCCCAUGCCAGAAAACCCAGUAGACGCCCAUCUAGCGAAGCUGCUGGUUCCGGCACCGCACAUGGUGCCGGAGAAGAAGGCCAAGAAGGAGGCCACGGGUGCUCGAAAGAGUUCCCGUUUUUAGGUGUCCGACGACUCCGGGGCGGACUCCUCCCCCGAAAACGAGGAGGAGAAAGAGGACUCUCUCCCAGAGGAGGGAGAGAGGAAGAGGAAGGCUUCCCCAACAGGGGAGGCCGAAGGGUCCAAGAGGGGAANNNNNNNNNNNNNNNNNNNNNNNNNNNNNNNNNNNNNNNNNNNNNNNNNNNNNNNNNNNNNNNNNNNNNNNNNNNNNNNNNNNNNNNNNNNNNNNNNNNNAAUGAUGGUAAAUGUCACCAUUAAGAAAGCUCGACUUGUCGUUAAGAUGUUUUCCGACAAGUUCAAGGAGUUGACUACGAUGAGAUUUUCUCACUCGUAGCGAUGCUAAGAGUCUGUUGGAAUUAUAUUAGCGAUUACUGCAUUAUUUAUGAAAUCUUGCAGAUAGGAUGUCAAAACAUUGUUUCCUCGACGAUUUUAAUGAGGAAAGGUUGUAUGUGAUACAACCGGAAGGUUUUGUCAAUCCCGAAAGAUGCUAAUAAGUAUGCAAAGCUCCAGCAAUCCUUCUAAGGACUGGAGUGAGCAUCUCGGAGUUGGAAUGUAUGCUUUGAUGAUGAUCAAAGAUUUUGGGUUUGUACAAAGUUUAUGAGAAACUUGUAUUUCCAAAGAAGUGAGUGGGAGCACUAUAGAAUUUCUGAUGAGUAUAUGUUGUUGACAUAUUGAUGAUCAGAGAUGAUGUAGAAUUUCUAGAAAGCAUAUAGGGUUAUUUUGAAAGUGUUUUUCAAUGGAAAACCUGGAUUAAGCUACUUGAACAUUGAGCAUCAAGAUCUAUAAGGAUAGAUCAAAACGCUUAAUAGUACUUUCAAAUGAGCACAUACCUUGACAUGAUCUUGAAGGUGUUCAAGAUGGACCAGUCAAAGAAGGAGUUCUUGCCUGAGUUGUAAGGUACGAAGUCAAGACUUAAAGCUCGACCAUGGCAGAAUAGAGAGAAAGGACGAAGGUCGUCCCCUAUGCUUAAGAUGUAGGCUCUUCAGUAUGCUGUGCUGUGUACCGCACCUGAAGUGUGCCUUGCCAUGAGUCAGUCAAGGGGUACAAGAGUGAUCCAAGAAUGGAUCACAGGACAGCGGUCAAAGUUAUCCUUAGUAACUAGUGGACUAAGGAAUUUUCUCAAUUAUGGAGGUGGUAAAAGAGUUCGUCGUAAAGGGUUACGUCGAUGCAAGCUAAACACCUAUCCGGAUAGCUCUGAGUAGAGAUACCGGAUACGUACAAUGGGGCAACAAUUUAGAAUAGUUGCAAGUAGAACAUUUAUUUGGAAUAGCUCCAUAUAGAGCGUGGUAGCUGCAUCUAGGAGAUGACAUAAAGAUUUGUAAAGCACACACGAAUCUGAAAGGUUCAGACCCAUUGACUAAAACCUCUCUCACAAGCAACAUGAUCAAACAUAAAACUCAUUGAGUGUUAAUCACAUAGUGAUGUGAACUAGACUACUGACUCUAGUAAACUCUUGGGUAUUAGUCACAUGGCGAUGUGACCUGUGAGUGUUAAUCACAUGGCGAUGUGAACUAGAUUAUUGACUCUAGUGCAAGUGGGAGACUGUUGGAAAUAUGCCCUAGAGGCAAUAAUAAAAGUAUUAUUAUUAUAUUUCCUUGUUCAUGAUAAUUGUCUUUUAUUCAUGCUAUAACUGUAUUAUCCGGAAAUCGUAAUACACGUGUGAAUACAUAGACCACAAUAUGUCCCUAGUGAGCCUCUAGUUGACUAGCUCGUUGUGAUCAACAGAUAGUCAUGGUUUCCUGGCUAUGGACAUUGGAUGUCGUUGAUAACGGGAUCACAUCAUUAGGAGAAUGAUGUGAUGGACAAGACCCAAUCCUAAGACUAGCACAAAUAUCGUGUAGUUCGUUUGCUAGAGCUUUGCCAAUGUCAAGUAUCUCUUCCUUUGACCAUGAGAUCGUGUAAUUCCUGGAUGCCGUAGGAGUGCUUUGGGUGUAUCAAACGUCACAACGUAACUGGGUGACUAUAAAGGUGCACUACAGGUAUCUCCGAAAGUAUCUAUUGUUUUAUGCGGAUCGAGACUGGGAUUUGUCACUCCGUGUAAACGGAGAGGUAUCUCUGGGCCCACUCGGUAGGACAUCAUCAUAUGCGCAAUGUGACCAAGGAGUUGAUCACGGGAUGAUGUGUUACGGAACGAGUAAAGUGACUUGCCGAUAACGAGAUUGAACAAGGUAUUGGAUACCGACGAUCGAAUCUCGGGCAAGUAAAAUACCGCUAGACAAAGGGAAUUGAAUACGGGAUCGAUUGAGUCCUUGACAUCGUGGUUCAUCCGAUGAGAUCAUCGUGGAACAUGUGGGAGCCAUCAUGGGUAUCCAGAUCCCGCUGUUGGUUAUUGACCGGAGAACGUCUCGGUCAUGUCUGCAUGUCUCCCGAACCCGUAGGGUCUACACACUUAAGGUUCGAUGACGCUAGGGUUAUAAAGGAAGCUUGUAUGUGGUUACCGAAUGUUGUUCGGAGUCCCGGAUGAGAUCCCGGACGUCACGGGGAGUUCCGGAAUGGUCCGGAGGUAAAGAUUUAUAUAUAGGAAGUCCUGUUUCGGCCAUCGGGACAAGUUUCGGGGUCAUCGGUAUUGUACCGGGACCACCGGAAGGGUCCCGGGGGCCCACCGGGUGGGGCCACCUGCCCCGGGGGGCCACAUGGGCUGUAGGGGGUGCGCCUUGGCCUACAUGGGCCAAGGGCACCAGCCCCAAGAGGCCCAUGCGCCUGGGGAAACCCUAAAGGAAGAGUCCCAGCAGGGGAAGGCACCUCCUAGGUGCCUUGGGGGGGGGGGAGGACUCCUCCCCUGGCCGCCGCCUCCUUGGAGAUUGGAUCUCCUAGGGGCUGGCGCACCCCCCCCCCUUGGGAUCCCUAUAUAUAGUGGGGUAGGAGGGCCUCCCAAACACACCUUAUGCCUUUGGUGCAGCCCCUCCCUCUCUCCCAAGUUACUCUCCUCUUCUCCCAUGGUGUUUGGCGAAGCCCUGCGGGAUUGCCACGCUCCUCCACCACCACCACGCCGUUGUGCUGCUGUUGGAUGGAUUCUUCCUCAACCUCUCCCUCUCUCCUUGCUGGAUCAAGGCGUGGGAGACGUCACCGGGCUGUACGUGUGUUGAACGCGGAGGUGCCGUCCGUUCGGCACUUGAUCAUCGGUGAUCUGAAUCACGACGAGUACGACUCCAUCAACCCCGUUCACUUGAACGCUUCCGCUUAGCGAUCUACAAGGGUAUGUAGAUGCAAACUCUCCUCUCCUUUCUACUCGUUGCUGGUCUCUCCAUAGAUAGAUCUUGGUGUUACGUAGGAAAAUUUUUGAAUUUCUGCUACGUUCCCCAACAUGAGUGUCAUCCCCUAUGCCUCAGCCAUAGGUUCUAUUAUGUAUGCCAUGCUGUGUACCAGACCUGAUGUAAACCUUGCCGUAAGUUUGGUAGGAAGGUACCAAAGUAAUCCCGGCAAGGAACACUGGACAGCGGUCAAGAAUAUCCUAAAGUACCUGAAAAGGACUAAGGAAAUGUUUCUCGUUUAUGGAGGUGACGAAGAGCUCAUCGUAAAGGGUUACGUCGACGCUAGCUUCGACACAGAUCUGGAUGACUCUAAGUCACAAACCGGAUACGUGUAUAUUUUGAAUGGUGGGGCAGUAAGCUGGUGCAGUUGCAAGCAAAGCAUCGUGGCGGGAUCUACAUGUGAAGCGGAGUACAUGGCAGCCUCGGAGGCAGCACAUGAAGCAAUAUGGGUGAAGGAGUUCAUCACCGACCUAGGAGUCAUACCCAAUGCGUCGGGGCCGAUCAAGCUCUUCUGUGACAACACUGGAGCUAUUGCACUUGCCAAGGAGCCCAGGUUUCACAAGAAGACAAGGCACAUCAAGCGUCGCUUCAACUCCAUUCGUGAAAAUGUUCAAGAUGGAGACAUAGAGAUUUGUAAAGUACAUACGGACCUGAAUGUAGCAGAUCCGUUGACUAAACCUCUCCCUAGAGCAAAACAUGAUCAACACCAGAAUUCCAUGGGUGUUNNNNNNNNNNNNNNNNNNNNNNNNNNNNNNNNNNNNNNNNNNNNNNNNNNNNNNNNNNNNNNNNNNNNNNNNNNNNNNNNNNNNNNNNNNNNNNNNNNNNGCUAGGGCGGGGAUCCCCAAGCAAAUGAGGCGUAAUUUUGACACUAUGGCCAUCCUUCUUCAUUGGAGGAUCUGGAAGGAAAGAAAUGCAAGGAUCUUCGAUAAUGCGGCGAGCACUCCUGACAGGGUUCGGGACCUUGUCUUGGAAGAUAUACACAUAUGGAGAUCAGCCGGCUGUAUCAGCGACUUGGCGACAUAAGCCUAGUCUGUUCUGUAUCUCAUUGGCCACUACUCGUGCGGCGAGAACGAGGGUCGAGCCUAUCUGGAAGCUGGCGAAGGAUAAUCAGUUCUCUGCCUAGAUGUAGUCCUGAUAACGGACUGAUUAUAAUGCUCUCUGUCUCCCCUGCGUUGACGAGCUUGUGUUCUUUUGGGUUUCAGCUCUAGUUCUCCUAGGCUGUUUCCCAUGCUGUAUUCUUUUCCUUCAAUCUAAUAAAGUACGGCCAUUGGCCCUUCGGUACAGUUUCUUCAUCCUCUUUGUGCCAUGGCUGUCCACCUCUUCGUCCUCACCAGUCCGGUCGCAACGUUUCCCUAGCACGCCUCCCACUGCGGAGCACACACAGCUCGAUGCGGCGUCGCCAUCAGACAGCACCUCUUCAACCACUCCAAACAGCGGGUCAAAGUCAGCGAAUCCCUCGACCACGCCUCUAGCUAUGCGGCCAUAGGUGUACCCGGCAGCAGCCUUUCCAUUUGCAGGAUUUUCUUCCAUCGUUUUGCAUUCAGGCAGCUGGUCAUAAUAAAAACACCAAUAAAUAUUAUUGUGACUAAUUUUUUCUGAAGAUCGACCGAACAGAUACCUUAUAUGACAGAACAUCAUGACGAGAGAGUAGAGACUCUGCUUCCACGCCGCACCCUACAUCAAGAUAGCACUGACACUACUAGGAAAAGGCCUACUAAUGGCGCACCGGUUUUGCCUACUAAUGGCACACUACCGGUGUGCCAUUAGUAUCACGCCACUAUUAUUUUUACUUAGUAUCUGGUAUACUAAUGGCGUACCAUGCAGUGCGCCAUUAGUUUUGCCCACAGUGCACCACUAGAGUCUGCUAUACUAAUGGCGCACCACAUGGUAGUGCGCCAUUAGUAACAAUUUUUUUAAUUUUUUUUCUUAAUCUCAGGUCACUAUUUCACAUAUGAGAUAUCGAACACAUAUAUAUACAACAAGCAUCCAUAUAACAAUCAUAGCCAAUACACAAGUUUCAUCAUCUAUACAUACAUAGCCAACACAUAGUUCCAUCGUUACAUAUUAGAAAAGUUUCACAUUGUUCAUCCAACACCGUUAUCCAUCAAUUCACAAAAGUUUCACAUUGAUACAAAAUAAAAACACAAAUGGAAAAGAAGCACUCCAUCCAUGCAAGCUUCCGUGAAUUAAAUCAAAUCUGCAAAAUGAUAAACAAGAAGUUAGAAGAAGAAGAAGAAGAAGACUAGAAGAAUACUAGAAGAAGAAGAACACUAGAAUAAGAAUAAGAAGAAUUUUCGAAAAAAGAAGAAUAAGAAGAAGACUAUAAGCUUACUAUGUAAACUUGAUCAUUUUGUGCUAACAUAAGUAAUUUUGGAGCUAACCUAUAGGAAACUAAGCAUAUAAGCUCUAAGUUAGCAUAUUAGAGCCAACUUAGGUAAAAUGAAGCUAACCUAUGUCAUUUUGGAAAAGAAGAAGAAUAAGAAGGAGACUAUAAGCUUAUUAUGUAAACUUGAUCAUUUUGUGCUACCAUAAGUUAUUUUGGAGCUAACCUAUAGGAAACUAAGCGUAUAAGCUCUAAGUUAGUAUAUUAGAGCCAACUUAGGUAAAAUGAAGCUAACCUAUGUCAUUUUGGAAAAGAAGAAUAAGAAAAAGACUAUAAGCUUAUUAUGUAAACUUGAUCAUUUUGUGCUAACAUAAGUUAUUUUGGAGCUAACCUAUAGGAAACUAAGCAUAUAAGCUCUAAGUUAGCAUAUUAGAGCCAACUUAGGUAAAAUGAAGCUAACCUAUAGGAAACUAAGCAUAUUAGAGAUAACAUAGGUAACUAAGUAUAUAUAUAUAUCAUUUUGGAGAUCUGACAUACCUGACAAAGUUCAGUUCUCAUGCAUUGUUCUUCUCCUUCUCCUUCCUCAGCCUGAUGCGCCAAGAGUGGCGAGGCAGUGGAGGCAGUGGGAUGUAGUCUUCUACCACAAUUGGCGUGGUCAUGUCGCCCAGCUGUGGGAUCGUCGGCGCCACCACCGGUGCGUGGUCAUUGUCAGGCACCACCACCAUCGCGAGACCACCUUCAGGCACGACCAUCGCUAGGUCAUCCUCAGCCACCUCCAUCUCUUGCCCAUGGUCAGCCACCACCAUCUCUUGACCAUUGAGGGAGUCCUGGACUAGGGGGUGUCCGGAUAGCCGAACUAUCAUCAUCGGCCGGACUCCAAGACUAUGAAGAUACAAGAUUGAAGACUUCGUCCCGUGUUCGGAUGGGACUUUCCUUGGCGUGGAAGGCAAGCUUGGCGAUACGGAUAUGUAGAUAUCCUACCAUUGUAAUCGACUCUGUGUAACCCUAGCCCUCUCCGGUGUCUAUAUAAACCGGAUGGCUUUAGUCCGUAGGACGAACAACAAUCAUACCAUAGGCUAGCUUCUAGGGUUUAGCCUCCUUGAUCUCGUGGUAGAUCUACUCUUGUAACACACAUCAUCAAUAUUAAUCAAGCAGGACGUAGGGUUUUACCUCCAUCAAGAGGGCCCGAACCUGGGUAAAACAUCGUGUCCCUUGUCUCCUGUUACCAUCCGCCUAGACGCACAGUUCGGGACCCCCUACCCGAGAUCUGCCGGUUUUGACACCGACAUUGGUGCUUUCAUUGAGAGAUCCUCUGUGUCGUCGCAAUCAGGAAGGAUGCCUUUUCCCGUCUUUAAAGACGGCACCGUCAUCAAGGGAGCUUUGGCCGCCGGCCAAACUAUCCGGCUAGGUGGUUUUCUUAUGACCGCCUGUUCGGCCACCGCUCUGACGAUGACCUCUCAGGUCAUCAAAAGCGAUCUUCACGUCAGCUCGGAAUUCGUCGAGCAGCUAGAUCCGAUGGAGCUCUCCUCCGUAAACGAGCUCUUGGAUCGCAUCGCCGCCCUGGGAGUCGCUACAGACUACGAUCAGAUAGGGCUUAAAACCGAUCUGAGAGAAAUUAACUCUCCCCAGGCUACCCACCACGUUGUUGUGGUAGAGGAACAAUGCGGCGACCCUUCUUCUAUGUUAAAAACCAGCUAUGUCCGGAUUCCCGAUCCCUCCAUGCCGGAUUCCCGCGGAGGGACGGACGUCAAUCAAAUACUGAACCUAAAGUCAGGCAUCGGACUAGAUUUGUUGGAAAGCAUCCAACAAACCAAGCUUCCAAAUCCGGAAACUUCUUAGCCUUUGAGCCUCAGAUCGGGCGGGGUUCCGAACUUAAUUCCACCCGCCCACCCAAACAUAAGCGAUCUAUCUCAAAUAUGGCAAGAGCCCGAUGAAACAGUACAUCAUUGCUGGCCCAGAUUCCUCCUGGUUAUGAACAGGAUAAAGGACUGCCGUGAAGAAAGCGCGAUUUCAAUUUUCUGCAACAAUUGCACGGACAAGGGAAUCAUAAACACCAUAAGUCGUCCCGAAGUUACACGCUUCGCCGACCUAGGGACCAUUGUACAAAAAUACUGGGCGAUGGAGAGUGCCUGGAAAACCGAAACCAGGUUUUGGGACAAUCCGGCCCUGAAUAUAACCCCAGUCCGAAAUAAAAGGGUGCGUCAUGCUCAAGCACCGGGAUUAAAAACCAAAAAGCAAAAAAAANNNNNNNNNNNNNNNNNNNNNNNNNNNNNNNNNNNNNNNNNNNNNNNNNNNNNNNNNNNNNNNNNNNNNNNNNNNNNNNNNNNNNNNNNNNNNNNNNNNNGAGAGCAGGAGCGAGAACAUGGGAUUGUAUCGAUAUGAUCAAAUGGUUGGUUGCUUGCCUGAUGGUUCGAUGCACGGAUACGGUUCUUCGUUAGGGUAAUCACGGUACUCCUCGGGGACAGAUCCUGUCGCAAAGGACAUCGAUACACAAGCAUCACCAAACAAUGUGCAACAAUAUGAUGCAUGCAUGAAACAUGGCAAUAUGAGUGUGUUGGGCUAAUGCAACUAAAACCAGAAGUGUUUGAACAAAUUUGAAUCAAGGAUUCAAAUUUCAAAUUCAAAUAUGGCCUUUUAAAGUGCUUUUCCUUGUUCUGAUUAAAACAUCAAUUUAACUUGUUUGAUCAUGCAUGAAAAUAGUACAGAUGGAUAGAUUGGAUUUUUCUGAUCAUUUUUCAUAUAUAAUUUGUCCAAUUUGGAGUUACAGAAUAAAAGUUAUGAAUUUUUGAAGUUUAAAUAAUAUUCUGGAAUUUCCUGAUUUAAUUUAAAUCCAGAAAUUCAAUUACUGCGUCAGCAUGACAUCAGCAUGACGUCAGUGGUCAACUGUGGCUGGCUGAGGUCAAACCUGACGUGUGGGGGCCACACGUCAGUGACAGGGGGGGUUAAACAGGAUUAAAUUAAUCCUAAUUAGGGGUUAGUGGCGCUGGGACCCACUGUCAGUGUCAGGGGGGGUUAACUAACAGUAGUUAGCGCUAACCUAACCACCUGGCCGACAGGGCCCACGCGUCAGUGACCCUGGGGGGUCAAACCCCAGGUCGGGCAAGUCAAACCCCACCGGCGACAUGACGCCGGCGAGGUCCGAGACGGCAGCGAUAGUGCUUUUUGCCAUUCCGGCAACCAAAUGGACGGCGGAAGGCACCUACGUGUUGCUGAGGUUGAGCCGCGUCUAUUGGUGGUGGUGGUUGGGCUCGGGGUGGCCGGAGUUGACGGCGGCGAGCUCGGCUGUGGCGGCCGGAGUUCGGGUGCGGUCGGGAUCAGCGUUGCAGGGGGUUUGGGGAAGCGUUGGUGCGUGCUGCGUGCUCCUAGUGAGGUGGGGAGCACGAUGGUGUGCUCGGUUGGGUGCUACGGCGACCGUGGCCACGACGGCGACAUCGCCGGCGGCGUGGAGGUCUCGGCCAAGGUGGGGCUAGGGCCUAGAGGUCGAAAGAGACCAGGGGAGAAGGGGGAAAUGAUCCGGGGGCUCACCGCGGAGCUGCAGGGAUGGUUAGCGGGCUCGGGGACGCGCUGGUGACGGUGAAUUCGACGGCGACGACGGUCGGAGCCCGAAGAGGGGAACGGCGACGUGGCGGCGAUGCAGGGCUUCCGGGGAGCUGUGGAGCGGUGGGGAGGAAGAGGGAGUCGAGGCGGAGCUCCUGAGCUAGUCGGGGGAGCGAGGGGUGGUCGGAGACGGUGGCUAAGGCGAACGGCGGCGACGGUGGUGUUCGGCCGGGCGAGAGAGAGAGCGAGGGAGAGCCGGGGGNNNNNNNNNNGGCAGGCAGGGAGAGAGGUGGCGUGGCGCGGUGGCCGUGCGCGCGCGCCGGCCACACGCCUGGCCGACUGGCGCCAGGAGGACGACGGCGGUGGUGGGCUGGGCUGGCUAGCUGGGCCGGCCAGCUGGUUGGGCCGCACAGGUAAGUUUUUCCCUUUUAGUUUUCUGUUUCUGUUUUUAUUUAAUAUAUCUGCAACUUUGUUGAAUGAAAUAAAAUACCUAGGCAACUCCAAAAAUCACCAAACUAUUUCUGGCCCAUAGUUGGAUUAUUUCCAACAUGAAACAUUUUAGUUUGGAGAUAUUUGAGCAUUUAAAUAUUUUAUAUUAUUUUAAAUGCCCAAAUUCAAAUAUUUAUGAUUUAAUUCAAAAACCUUAGGAUGGCCUAGGAAAAUGUGCACCACUUUUGGCAGAGGUUCUGAACCAAGGCAAAAAUGAUGGGCAUUUUAGAAGGGCAUUUCAGGUUCAUUGAAAAAUUAUUUUAGUAACCCUAGUUGGUUUCAGAGGGGACUGGGGGUUCUGUCAUCCCCAUUUCAAGUUUCUGAUGAAAGAGUAAACAUGAUGCAACACUCUAAUGCAUGACUAGCUAGGGUGUGACAUCGGGAAUGCACCAAAAAAGCUUCUCGACAGCUCUCUCCUCGGUGUAGGUGGCAUCGCCAAACUUCAUCAUCUUCUGCAGCAGAGUGUUGAGACGGAGAGCAAAGUCAUCAACGUCCUCACCUGGCUUGAAGCCCAGGUUCUCCCACUCCUUACGAAGUGCCUGUAGUGUGGACUUGCGAGCACGGUCGCUGCCGAUGCGUGCUGCGGCGAUGGCGUCCCAAGCCUCAUUGACAGUCCGCUUGUUGGAAAGCGAGAACUGCAUCUCGGGCGGGACUGCGGCGAUGAGGGCGUCCAGCGCCCGUCGAUCCUCUAGGUGGUCGACGUUGCUGUCCUGGACUGCCUCCCACAUGCGCCGCACCUGGGGCCUGACCUUCAUGAUCCCGGCCCACUCGAUGUAGUUGGUUUUAGUGAGGGUAGGCCACCCAACACUGGAACCAACAUCCCUGACCACAGUCGGGACCUCGUAGAGGCCGCGGUCCUGGUCGUUGCAGCCGCCGUCGCGGUGCGCGCCUCCACCUUGAGCGCGGGCGUGCUCGGCUGCCCACUGCGCCGUCCUCUCCUGCGCCACUUUGGCGCGAUCUGCGUCGGCGCCGUCGUCCGCAGGCGCGGAGCUGCUGGAGCUGCCGGGGCUGCCGCGGAGUGCCUUGGCAUCCGCCGUAGCCUCACGGGCUGCUUCUGCUGCUACUGCUGCUCCUACCUCCGCCCUGGCUGCUUCUACCUCCGCUCUGGCUGCUGCCAGCUCCGCUGCAGCCAGCCUCGACACCCUUGCCGCCGCAGCAGCUGCUGCUACAGCCGCUCGCUCACGCUCCUCUGCCACGGCGCGCUCGGCCUCCUGCCGGCGCCGCAUGCUCGAGGUAGCCGUGUGCUGAGAGCGACCUGCAGACAUGGCUCGCUGCAGGGGGGCUGUUGCGUGAAGAGGAGGCCGAUGAAGACGAGCUGCUGCUCGACAGUCCGGAGGGAGGAAGGUAACCAGAGGCAGACGGAGCAGCUGCUGCUACCGACUUGGGCUGCUCACAGGAAAUGCUCAGGGUACAGGUUAACGAGGCUCUGAUACCACUUGUUAGACCUUUCAGUCUGAGCAUUGAUAGUUGUGGAUGACACUAGAAGAGUUGGGACAAUUUUCGUUGGUUUAUUUCUCACACAAUGCCAUGCCAACCUGAGGGGUUGGGGAUACAUAUUUAUAGGCUGCUAGCCAGCCAAGGCAUAUGCUAAGAUGCUGCUAAGAUGCCAGUCUAAGAUGCUAGUCUAAGAUGCUAACUGACAGUCCUUGAUGGUCAAGAACAGAACUCUAUCCUAACAGCCAGUCCUUGAUGGUUCAGGACUUUAUCCUCCUAACUGCCACAAGGACCAUGUGCUGCAGCCCCACAAAGACCCUAGUACAUAAACUUAUCCAUCAACCUCCACCACCGCCCCGCUGGCCGCCACGAACAGCGUCCCUCCACCGCCGGUGCCGAUUACCUCCGCCGCCCCGGUUGCCACCAUCUUCACCCUCGAGGAAGUCACCGGCGCGCUCCGCGAUCUCGCCACCGCGGUCCAGGAGAUCCGCCUCUACCUGGCCGGCCCCCACGAGCCGCCGCCGGCCGCGCCACCCGCCGCCGCCACCGGGCCGCUGCUCCUACCGUGGCAGCUGCCCCUCCCGGCGGCCUCCGCCGCCCUCGCCAGCCCGUUGCAGCCCCAGCUNNNNNNNNNNNNNNNNNNNNNNNNNNNNNNNNNNNNNNNNNNNNNNNNNNNNNNNNNNNNNNNNNNNNNNNNNNNNNNNNNNNNNNNNNNNNNNNNNNNNGGUGAUAGAACAAUCUCAUAUCAUAAUCCUUAAUGAGCUCCAACCAUCUCCUUUGCCUGAGAUUUAACUCCUUCUGUGGGAAGUUGUACUUCAAGCUCUUGUGAUCAGUGUACACCUCACAAUGGUUUCCGAUGAGAAAAUGUCUCCAUGUCUUUAAUGCAUGCACUAUGGCUGCUAACUCCAAAUCAUGUGUAGCAUAGUUCAACUCAUGGGGUUUAAGCUGUCGUGAGGCAUAAGAAACAACUCUUCCCUCCUGCAUAAGCACCGCUCCAAGUCCUCGACGAGAAGCAUCGCAAUAUACUUCAUAAUCCUUGCGCUCAUCUGGCAGAAUCAACACCGGUGAUGUAACCAAACAUUUCUUCAACUCCUGGAAACUGGCCUUACAUUCCUCAGUCCAUUUGAAUUUGAUGUCCUUUUUCAACAACUCUGUCAUGGGUUUUGCGAUCUUCGAGAAAUUCUCAAUGAACCUCCGGUAGUAUCCUGCGAGUCCAAGAAAACUCCGGAUAUCUCCAACUGAUGUGGGUGCUUCCCAAUUUGUCACAGUGACAACUUUGGUGGGGUCUACUGCUAUUCCUUCUCCGGAUAUAACAUGUCCAAGGAAUCCAACUUCCUUCAACCAAAACUCGCACUUGCUGAACUUGGCAUAUAAUUGAUGCUCUCUGAGCUUCCCAAGUACCAAACGCAAAUGUUCCUUAUGCUCUUCUUCAUUCUACGAGUAGACCAAAAUAUCAUCAAUGAACACCACAAUGAACUUAUCCAGAAACUCCAUGAACACCUUGUUCAUCAUGUUCAUAAAAUAGGCAGGUGCGUUAGUCAGACCAAAUGACAUAACGGUAUACUCAUAUAGCCCGUACCUUGUGGUAAAAGCUGUCUUAGGUAUAUCCUGCUCUCGAAUCUUCAGCUGGUGGUAUCCUGAUCGCAGAUCGAUCUUGGAAAAUACUUUAGCUCCUUGCAACUGGUAAAACAAAUCAUUGAUCAUCGGCAGUGGGUACUUGUUCUUGAUUGUCACUUCAUUCAAUCCUCGAUAAUCAAUAGCCAUCCUUAAUGAUCCAUCCUUCUUCUCCACUAGAAGCACUGGUGACCCCCAAGAUGUUCUAUCACUUUUAGCUAGCACAGAGGCUAGAGAUGAGAUUAGUGCACUUGUUGAUACUCCUACUAGAAUAGAGGCUAGACAUGAGACUAGAUGUGAGGAAGCAACGUCUACUUCUUUACACUCGAAGAAGAAAGAAGCACGCAAGAUCGAGCCUCCGCAGAUCAACAAUGAAUGCAUCGAGAAGGCACUAAUCCAACUUAUAGGAGUAGUAAAAUUUAUUCUUGUGGUUCUUGUUUUCUUUGGUCUUGCUUUUCUAGUCAAAAUUAUCGUUGGAGUUCGUGCAAAACGAAGGUCCGUUUGGGGUCGUGCGUUGGAGUUUGCCUUACAAGUGGGACCGCAGUUAAGGAAACCGACUAUCGGCAAACCCCCACCUCGCCCGCCGCGCGAUGGCUGAAGUUAGAGAAAUGACGAGGUUGAAGAGAUUGCUCUAGCAUGGACUCCAAGAAAUAAUAUGGUGUCAGAUGGAUGUCGUGGUGGUGGCGUGUGUCGUACUCCUGGACGUGAAUGCUUGUUCUGGCCCAUGCCACCCUACUACUCCUACUACUUACUCCUACUAUAUAGUACUAGUAUCGAGGAUUCGAGGUGCUGGUUACGUACAGCAAACACAUUAACAUAUGGCUACAGUAAAAACACCUGCCCGACGCGUGAAGCAUGUGAAGCUAGUACAAAUAGUGUACAACUAUUGUUGAUUGGCCUCAUCCGAUAACCUGUUGCAAUGCACGUACAAUUAUGUAUUCAGAAAAAUUUUUUCCUCGUCGCACCACUCACUCAGAGAAGUGACUCGAAAGCCAUUCCUAAAUUUAGUAAGUUUAUCACAGGCAUAUCAUUUUAUUACAUACAAUAGGUCAUCAACCCACAUCGACAACGAGGAUACAUUAUAAAUACUAAAGUUUUCACCAUACAAAAAAUAACAAGCAAUAAAAUGAACUUCAACUCAACCAUUCCUCGGUGUUGGAAAUGCUUGCUUUGAACCACAAGUGAUUCUCUGGGACGGGCCAUCCAUUAUCGAUCUGGAGACCAACGCAGGACUGAUCAUCCAGGCUGAAGCGGCCUACUAUAUCAGUACCAGGGUAGGGAACCACCCAAUUGUCCGAGGUAUAGACACAGCUGCUUCUCAUAAAUGGUACUAGUAACAUUGUGUCAACAGCAGUUGGGUCACCUUUCACCAUCAUCGGAUAGUUUUGUCCAAGGAAGAGCGAGUUUUCUCCAAGACUAUCAAUUCUGUACCAGGGAGAAGGAGUUGGCGCUAGCACACUAGUAUCCAUCCCGAAUACCAUGCAAUGGGUGUUGGAAUAGGUCCGGAGAGUGCGACCAUGGGAGACUACACCUGCUUCCUUAGCAGUAACAUCAUCAGUGGGCUGUAUACACACAAGAAGAGGUGAUCCAUCGGAAUUAGUUGCCAGGCGCCACAGAGUAUAUGGGCGCUACUCGUCCUCAUGCUUGUGAUCAUCACCAUCGUCAUCUCCCCCUUGGUUAUAAAAUUUUUCAAGUAUAGGUGGUGGGAUGUUCACAAGACCUUGGAAACACAAGAAGAAGCUUAAUUAGUAAAGGGAAACUUGCUAACCCGCAUGCAUGUGGAUGAAACAAUUAUAAUUACGCUGGAAGACAAACGUACCGAAACUACGAGGAUCCCAUGCAAAACAGUGCCACGAGUGGUGGCAGCAAACACAAGGCCCUCGUAUUGAAUUGCAUCACAGUACUCAUCCAUGUACAGAAACUGAUUUUUGAGCAAUAUCCAUCGAGUCAAACCACCAAGGACGGCAACAAGCUUGUUGAAGAUAGAAUUCCAAGAGCGGUUGGGAACUUGACAAAUUGCUAUCUUCCGUAGAAGAUAAUCACCAUGAUCGUAUUUGAACGUGCGUACAAUACCGGUGUGCUCAACCUCUGGGCAGUCUGCUGAGAUUUUUGGAAGUGGAACCCGGUCACGAGUGUACACAUUCACAAGUUCCCACUCGCAGUUGGACCCAAUGUAAACAACCCAAUCUCCAUUUGCGCCUGCCCAAGCCUUGCCCUCAAGCGAUGGCAUCUUAACAUCAUACGUAUCAUUAUCAAGCGGCAUCAACUUGCACAGGCUGAGGCCUCCGUCGUGCCGGCGCCAGUCAUCAGGGUCACGGCGAAGAAGAUAGGGGAGAUCAAACCGCUCCUUGACUCUUGGGUUCCUUGUAAUGAUGUUAUUAGUGGUCUUCACUGGGAUGAAAUGAGCUACCUUGGUCAAACGAUCGACUACAACCCAUAUCGAGUCAUAGCCUGAACGAGUCCUGGGCAAUCCUGUGAUAAAAUCCAUGCCUAUCUUAUCCCACUUCAAUUCGGGUAUCGACAAUGGUUGUAGCAAUCCUGCUGGCUUCUGAUGCUCUGCCUUCACUCUUUGACAUACAUCACAAACUGCUACAAACUCCGCAAUAUCCUUCUUCAUUCCGGUCCACCAAAAACUAUCCUUCAAAUCCAGAUACAUUUUGGUAUAUCCUGGGUGAAUCAAAUACGGCGAAUCAUGGGCCUCCUGCAGAAUCAACUUCCUGAUCUCUGGGUCAUUAGGCACAUAUACGCGGACCUCAAACCAUAAGGUAUCAUGCUCAUCCUCACGAGAUCCCUUAGCUUUUCCUUUGCUCAUCUUCUCCUUUAUCUCGGCAAUCUCCUUGUCGGUCUUCUGANNNNNNNNNNNNNNNNNNNNNNNNNNNNNNNNNNNNNNNNNNNNNNNNNNNNNNNNNNNNNNNNNNNNNNNNNNNNNNNNNNNNNNNNNNNNNNNNNNNNUUUUUCUUUUAAAAUUUCACUUGUUUAAUUAACUACAUUCAAAGAACUUUCUACAGUUUUUUUAGAGAAGGACAACCUAUGAUUUGCUAGCUAGCUAGUUAGGUAUUUUAACACAACAUUAAUAGCAAGGAGAAGGAGAUGAACUGUUCACAGCCAGGCAGGCAGGUCUCGCUGGCUUUUUCCUGUAUCAUUGGCUACUCCUACUUCCUUCUCUGACAAAGACCUGUUCUGAAUCUGUAAUACUGAUUCAUAGUGAUGAUGGUGGAUCGACUAUAGACCUUUACUAAUCCAUGUACAACAAAAAUUACGACGUACAAGGUUAAAAAUCCAAGGGUCAAACCCUAGUCAAUCGAUCCGGCAAAUUCUACACGAAUCUGGCAUGACAUCCAGUGCGAUUAACAGGAGUUUCAAUUAUAAUUAGCCUCCACGAAGCUGCAUGGAGGAGGAUGUAAUCGUGUUUUGUUUCCUUGUCUGAAACUUCACUUUCCAUCAAUCUGAAAAUAAGUGGUAGAGGGUAAAGGAAUGAAAAAAAACAUAUGUAGAGGUUUUGCAACAGCUAAAGCCACACACACAAAAACAUUAGUAUGCUAGCUGGUCCAUGGCAUUGACAAGUCAAUUGAUUCGAUGCAACCAUAUGUAUGAAUAAUAUGGCCAAGGAUAAGAGAAGUAAAAAAUAUAAAUAUACUGAUAGGCUCUUCUUUUGUUCACGUGUGCAUGUUGCAUGAGCCAAGUGUAUCGGCAUUAUGGCUUGUGUUUGCUACAUGACGGCGAUAGGCCAGUUCCCAUUCAGUCAGGCAUGAUAUGUCCUAAAUUCAUUUAUUCACGUAUCGUGUAGAAGGAGAACUUAUUUCAUUUAUGUUUUGUAGGUUCCUUGCUUACAAGAAAAUAGAAAAAAAGACACUUAUAUAAUUACCAGACAAAAUCAACUGUAUAUUGCUCUAUCUUUCCUCUUUGUUCUGUAUCAGUAUCAACAAUCAUAGUACUAAUAGCUUCCUAUACUGGUGGUAAUAAAUUCAAUAAAAGAAACCUAGAAACUAUAUGAACAACUUGAAACAAUAUGUACAAACUUAGAUUAACCAACGAAUGAAAUACAAAAGAAGUGUUCAUGUCUACGUGGAGUGAAUCAAUCAAGCCACGCAAAGCCCUAAUACUUUGUUUUCUAUUAGUAACUCAUAUGACAAUACAACCGCUCCAUAUGAAAAGGUAAUACGAUGAGUCAUCUAUGCUUAUCCAUCUUACAUAUAUAUUGUACAAAAAAUAUAAAGUUAGUUCAGAAAAAAUUGUGUAUAGAACAAUCUUCGCAUUAAUAGUGUGAUCUAUCUCAAUGACACACACAAAAUUACAAACUUUGUUCCCUUAAGUAUGCCAAUCUGGAUACGCCUAACAACAUAUAGAACAUGACAAACUAACUCGGAGCAAGGGACAAAAUCUAGAUCAAUGUUUGAAGUGUAAAGUGAAUACGAUGAGUCAUUUGUCGUUAUCAAGCAUUCCAUACACCUAGAUGAUAUGUGCAAGAACAAUCAACUAUGAAGAACAAUCCAAAAUCACACUAGUAAGUAGUGCAAUGAAACACAACAUACCAAAUUAUUAGGUAAUCGAUAAGCUUAAGAGCAGUUUUUCAAGAAGCGAGUGUAAAGAUUACAAACUUAGUUCCCUUAAGUUAUGCCAAUCUGGAUAUACCUAACAACAUGCAGAACAGCACAAGCUAAAUCAGAAAGACGGACAAAAUCUAGAUCAAUAUUUGAAGUGUAAAGUGAAUACGAUGAGUCAUUAUGCGUUAUCAAGCAUUUGAUACACCCAGAUGAUAUGAGAAAGAACAAUCAACUAUGAUGAACAAUCCAAAGUCACGCUAGUAAGUAGUGCCAUCAAACACAACAUACAAAAUUAUUAGGUCGAUAAGCUUAAGAGCACUUUUUCAAGAAACGAGUGUGAAGAUCAAAAACAAAUGUGCGAUGCCAGCUAUAAAUACGACUACACCAUGAGGGUCUCUUCCAUCAUCUAACCUUCAAGGACCUAGAGUUGAAACACCAAAGCCAAGUGAGCAAUAGUAAACACAAAUCAAACAUGAAGACCUUCAUCAUAUUUGUCCUCCUUGCCAUGGCGAUGAACAUCGCCAGUGCCAGUAGGCUGCUAAGCCCUAGAGGCAAGGAAUUGCAUACUCCACAAGAACAAUUCCCCCAACAACAACAAUUCCCCCAACCACAACAAUUCCCCCAACAACAACAAUUAACGCAACAACAAUUCCCCCGGCCACAACAAUCCCCUGAACAACAAUAAUUCCCCCAACAACAAUUCCCCCAGCAACCACCACAACAAUUCCCCCAACAACAAUUUCCAAUACCAUACCCACCCCAGCAAUCACAAGAACCUUCCCCAUACCAACAAUAUCCACAACAAGAACCAUCUGGGAGCGACGUUAUAAGUAUCAGUGGCCUAUGAAAUGAAGAGAUGUAAUACUAGACGGGUGAAUCAUCGUUGUUAGUCAAUGGAGCAUAAUGUAACGAUGAUAAAUAAAGUGAUGUGCACCAUCAUGUGUAACCCCGACCUGUACUAGUCCAAACAUGGGAAUAAAAGACAAAUAAGUUCUUUUCUGAAGCACAUUGCUCGCAAUUGUUACAUUCAUGCCCUAUUUUGAUUUCCAUCCCUAACUACAAUCUCAAUGUUAUGUGACGUCUACUUAUUUAGGAAGUGUAGUAUUAUAUGAACAUAACAUAAUUAACAUGUACGAAACUUGUUUCAAAUUGAAGUACUAUUA
rnacentral:lncRNA from 1 species